rnacentral:lncRNA from 1 species
CGCGACAUCUCGGCUUGGGCAGCUGCCGAGAGCCACUCUCUGCUGCUCGGGAUGCUGAGAGGAAGGAGAGCGGGAUCUGGCCUUACAAACAUCAGUAUCGCCGCCAGCCCCCGCCGACAGGCCUGACUUCACCAGUCUCCUCGCCGCCUCCCUGCCAACAACGCUCCGUCCCUAUCUUCGGCCAACGCGAGCGACUUCCGGCGCAGGGAAGUGCGUCAUCAACACACCGGAAGUAAACGUCAUCACCCGGCGCCAGCCACACACGCCGUGAAGGCCUGAGCUUUAGACGCUGGUUCGCGCAGGUUGGGAAAGAGCCGCUGUUGGCACCAAGGUCGCCUCUCCUCCGCGCCACCAUGCAGGUCUCCAACCUCAACGAGGUGAAGAUUUACAGUCUCAGCUGCGGCAAGUCCCUUCCUGAGUGGCUUUCAGACAGGAAGAAGAGAGCGUUGCAGAAGAAAGAUGUCGACGUCCGCAGGAGGAUCGAGCUCAUCCAGGACUUUGAGAUGCCAACCGUCUGCACCACGAUGCAGGUGUCCAAAGACGGGCAGUACAUCCUCGCCACUGGAACAUACAAACCCUCGGGUUCGAUGUUAUGACACCUACCAGUUAUCCUUGAAGUUUGAAAGGUGUUUAGAUUCAGAAGUUGUCACCUUUGAAAUUUUAUCUGAUGAUUAUUCAAAGAUUGUCUUCUUGCAUAACGACCGGUAUAUUGAAUUUCACUCACAAUCAGGUUUUUAUUACAAAACCAGAAUACCCAAGUUUGGAAGGGAUUUCUCCUACCACUACCCGUCCUGCGACCUGUACUUUGUCGGGUGCGAGGUAUUGGGGCCAAAACUCUUUGCUUCCUUUUUUCCUCCUCCCAAAUAACCGCUUUCUCUUCCUAAAUUUCUUGUGCAUUUUAUUUAUCUGUUUAGUUAGCCUUGAUAAAGUUUAUGUGGUUACUGCAAAAAAAGAACAACAAAAAAAAGUCUUAGAAAACAAGGGAUAAACAGCAACAACAAAAAACCCCAGUGCUCUACAUAUUAAUGCAUUUGAUUUACAAGUGGCUUCCUGAUAUUUUAACACCUGUUAUACUGCCUACUAAAAUAUGUUCUAACAUUAAAAAUAUUUAUAAUAAUUACAUGUCACAGUAGUUAAUUAAACUCUGGGAAUACUGAUAGGAAAUACAUAAGCCUGUUGAAUAUAUCUCAAAUGCUUCACUGUGUGAGAUUGUAUUGUUUUUCUUUUUCUUUUGUACAUUUCUGUUUAUGUCUCCAAAGUUGUAGUUUCUGCUUUAGGUUUGUUCAGUAUCAGUGAUAAUUUUGUUUUGUUUUUGUUUUUUGAGACAGGGUCUUGGUGUGUAGCCCAAGCUGGCCUCGAAUUUGCAGUGAUCCUCCUGCCUCAGCCUCCUCAGUGCUGGGAUUACAGAUGUGUGCCACCACACCUAGCCUCAGUGAGGAGUUUCUGUCUGGGUCAUCUUGUGAUGAAGGGACUGUAGUUGGAGGACAUUUGGGCCAGGUGCUGAGAAUAGUCCUGAGAUCAUGAAGGCGGUGGUAAUGGAUCACGUGGCUCAUGUGUCAUGGCGUUUCAUUAUGGAGACCGGUGACCAUUUAACUUAAAAGGUUAAUGCAAACAUAGCCUCAUAUUGGUCUCGCCACAUAGUUGCUGAUCACUACUUGGAGUAUUUCAGUGGAACUAUUUCAAGUAGAAUAGGCCUGAGGCUCUAAUUCCAGCUACUUAGGAGGCUGAGACAGGAGGAUUGCAAAUUGGAGGCCAGCCUGGGCAACUUAGGAAGACCUUGUCUCAAAACAUAAAAGAGGGCUGGGGAUGUAGCUCCAUGACAAAACACCCCAGAGUUCUCUCAGUACCACAAAAAAAUGAGCAGACCGAUUAACAAAAACCAAAAGUGAAAAGAAAUUUUUUGAGAGGACCCUAAAAAACAUGAGACCUUUUUCCUGCCUUGGAGUUGCCUCGGGUUGUAGUGCGAAUUGCUCAGGGCUCACCCUUCCUGUCUGCUGGGGCGGAGAGAGGAGCCCGCUGGGGAGCUGCCCAGGAAGGGUGUGGAGGGUGAACUGCUGGGGAAGCCACUUUCUUGGCUCUGUCUCGUGGGAUUCCAGAACUUUAUUCUUUUUUUUAAAUACAUUUUAUUUUAUCCUGUUCCCCCCUUCAAGCCCCCUCCCGUCCCUAUGUACAGAAGCUUUGUUUCCAUUUUUUCCUUCUAUUUUCACUUUUUUCUUGUCUCUUUCCUCCCUCCCUCCCUUCUUCUUCUUUCCGUUUGAACACUUUCUUCCCAUUUCCCAACAUCCAUUAUACAUCUCAGUCCUUAUUUCCACAUUCAGUUUCUCACACCAGAGAAACAAUGUGGUAUUUAAACAUGUGUGUCCAACUUAUUUCACUUAAGAGUAUGGUCUCAAGGUGUAUCCAUUUAGAUAUAAAUGUCUGAAUCUCAUCCUUUAUGGCUGAGUAGUACUCCAUUGUAUAAAAAAAAAACCACAUCUUUAUCCACUUGUCAGUUGAUGGGCAUUGGGGCUGUUUCCAAGAUUUAGCUAUUACAAAUUGUGCUGCUACAAACAUGGGUGUGCAUAUAUCGCUGUGGCAUGAUGCUUUUAAUUCUUUGGGGAAGAUACCAAGAAGAGACAUAGCUGGGUCUAAUGGGACUUCCAGUCCUAGUUCUUUGGGGUGUCUCCAUACUGAUUUCCACAGUGGUUGCACCAGUCUACACUCCCACCAGCAGGAGAGAAGGAUUCCUUUUCUCCACAACCCCUCCAGCAUUUGUUAUUGGUUGAUUUCUUGAUAGCAGCCAUUCUUUGUGGGGUGAGGUGGAAUCGUAGCAUUGUUUUAAUUUGCAUCUCUCAAAUGACCAGUGAUGUUGAACAUUUUUUCAUAUAUUUAUUUACCAUUUCUAAUUCUUUAUCUGAGAAGUAUCUUUAUUUCAGAUGCCCAUUUUUGCUAUGGGUCUUUAAAUUUGAGGGAUCUGAUUUUUUUUAGGGUUUUUUUGGUACUGGGGAUCAAACUCAGGACCUUGCACUUGCGAGACAGGUGGCAGAACCACUGAGCUAAAUCCCCAGCCCUUGAGUUCUUUAUAUAUUCUAGAUAGUAGUCCUUUAUCUGAAUAGCUGGUAAAAUUUUUUCCUGCAUUGUGGGCUGUCUCUUCACACCGUUGGUGGUUUCUCUUUCUGUGCAAAAGCUUUUUAAUAAGAUGAGGUCCUAAUUGUUCAUAAAGUCUUUGCCUACUCCUAUGUCCUCAACUGCAGAACUUUGUUCUUUUUUUUUUUUUUUUUGGUACCAGGGAUCGAACUUGGGUCCUUGCAUUUGUGAGGCAGGCCUCGGAACCGCUGAGCUAAAUCUCCAGCCCCAGAACUUUAUUCUUAAGUGCUGCCUUUUUAUGAAUAUAAAAAUUAUGUGUUAUUUAUUUUAGAAAAUUGGGAAAAUACAGAAAAGUUUGAAAAAAUCUUGCUGUAUGGUUAUGCCACCCCAAAGAAACUGUGUUAGUAUUUUAUUGUGUUGCUUUUUAGUCUUUUGUUCAAUUUUUUUUUCUUGAACUGGGGAUCGAACUCGGGACCUUGUGCUUGAGAGGCAAGUGGUGGCACUACUGAGCUAAAUCUCUGGCCUUAGUCUUAUGUUCGUAUUAGAUACUUUAGGUACUUUUGGAUGUUCAGUCUCCUUAGUGACGUCCUAAUCUUUCCUUGGUGGUUUAACUCUUUUACAUGGCAAUUCCUAAAUGAGGUGAAUAUAGGUUUAGAACAGAUUUUUUUAUCAGUUUUACCAAAGAAGGUAAAUUGUGAGUGAUAUAUAUAAUUAUGAAAUUUAUAUUUACGAAACUUCUGUGUGCUUACAAGUUGAUCACCGUUCCCCAGGCAUUUAGCUUGCUUUGUUAUUUUGCAGUUCUGAAGUUUACAGAUUAAACCUGGAACAAGGCCGUUACCUGAACCCCUUGCAGACAGAUGCCGCGGAGAACAACGUCUGUGACAUAAAUUCCAUGCACGGCUUAUUUGCCACAGGAACAAUAGAGGGUCGAGUGGAGUGCUGGGACCCUAGAGCCCGGAGCAGAGUCGGUCUGCUGGACUGUGCCCUAAACAGCGUCACAGUGGACUCAGAGGUCAGCAGCCUGCCGACCAUCUCUGCCCUGCGGUUCAGUGGUGCCCUCACCAUGGCAGUGGGCACGUCCACCGGGCAGGUUUUAUUAUAUGACCUUCGAUCCAGUAAGCCACUGCUAGUUAAGGAUCACCAGUAUGGGCUGCCCAUCAAGUCCAUCCACUUCCAGGGACGCUUUAGAUUUGAUUCUGUCAGCAGACUCUCGCAUCAUCAAAAUGUGGAAUAAGAACUCAGGGAAAAUAUUUACCUCCUUGGAGCCAGAACAUGACCUCAAUGACGUCUGCCUGUACCCCGGCUCAGGAAUGCUCCUCACUGCCAACGAGGCCCCCAAGAUGGGCAUCUAUUACGUCCCGGUCCUGGGCCCCGCGCCUCGAUGGUGCUCUUUCCUGGACAGCCUGACAGAAGAAUUAGAGGAAAAUCCAGAGAGCACGGUCUCACGACGAUUACAAAUUCGUCACCAAGAAAGACCUUGAAAAUUUAGGGCUCAUGCAUCUCAUCGGCUCGCCCUUCCUGCGGGCGUACAUGCAUGGGUUUUUCAUGGACAUAAGGCUCUAUCACAAGGUGAAACUGAUGGUCAACCCAUUUGCUUAUGAAGAGUACAGGAAAGAUAAAAUUCGACAGAAGAUAGAAGAGGCGCGGGCACAGCGCGUCCAGUUAAAGAAGUUGCCAAAAGUUAACAAAGAGCUGGCUCUCAAAUUAAUGGAGGAAGAAGAAGAGAAGCAGAAGUCUACAUGGAAAAGGAAAGCAAAGAGCCUUCCUAAUAUUCUCACUGAUGAUCGAUUUAAAGUUAUGUUUGAGAAUCCUGACUUCCAAGUAGAUGAAGAAAGUGAAGAAUUCAGGCUUUUGAAUCCACUUGUUUCAAAAAAUUAGUGAGAAAAGGAAGAAGAAACUAAGACUCUUAGAGCAACAAGAACUUCAGAGAAAAAGUAACGAAGAGGAGCCGGAAGGCAGGCCAAGCGACUCGGAGAGCUCUGACAGCUCGGAGGAUGAGAAGGACUGGGUGGCCGAGGUCCGAAGCAGCGCCGACUGUUGCAGCAGGAGGAAAAGGUGCGACGGCAGGAGCAGUGCCGAGAGGACCAGCAGGCAGUCCUGAAGCCCCAGUUCUACGAGAUCAAGGCCGGGGAGGAGUUCCGAAGCUUCCGGGAGUCUGCCUCCAAGCAGAAGCUGAUGAACAAAACCCUUGAGGAUCGGUUGAAACUUGAAGCAAAAAAUGGCACAUUGGCGUCGGCAGCC